GUUACAUGGUUUAACAUCGGGCAGGAACAGACACUGGGUUCAGACCACAGCGAGGAGAGGAGAUGAGAGCGAGGGAGGAGGGGAGGAGGAGGUCAGACGCAACGGUAAUAUGACUCCUCUGUCCGACUGCCAGAGGAGUCCCUCCCACGAGGAACCCACGGGAGGAGAGAGGAGACGAAGGGAACAUGUGUGAAGAGACAUGGGACGCACCUCAUGACUCUGAGACUACUGUCGCCACCCCUCAUGAGCACAGCCCUGUUCUAUUCUGGUCUGAGUCCAGCAGCAUCUCCUGCGGCUGAGCUGAGGAGCACUCACGAUGGAGCCGUAGUCGAUGCAGAGUGUUUGCAGUGCCCACGGCAGGCCCAGGCCGACCAGGAUGUCAAACACAUUACUGCCUAUGGAGUUGGAGAUGGCCAUGUCUCCCAUACCUGAGGCAAGGAGAGCAACACUGUCAAGCCAUGCAGUCUGGGACGCUGGUGCCUGCUGCGAGGAAGUAUUUUUACUGGAAGAGACCGACUGAACUGACCAUCCAGACCAUGAUGUAGGACAGGCCAGCGAUCCAGACGGUGGCAGUGAAGAAGGAGACCAAGAACCAUCUCUCCCAGCGACGCUUGGCACAGUUGGGCACAGUGAAGAACAGAAGCAGGGACAGCGGCCACAUGACCAUCCACUUUAGCUUGUCACACGCCCCAGCUGGAAGGAAAGGAAGAACAAAGACUCCAGUCGCUGAAGUCUGCACCUCCCGUUCAGACCCUGCUCAGCCCCGCCCAUUCCAUUUUCUAAGCCCCGCCUUCCCUGAGCCCUGGCGCCUGAGUCAGAGUCGCC